GCCUGCCCUGGGCCCCGUCCCCACGAGUCUCCCAGAGGUGGCGUUGCUGUCCGGUCUGCAGGGAGGGCGGGCCCUGGGCUGUAGGCUUCUUGAGGCGGGCACUGGUCACAGCUGGGACUAGGUGAGAGCAGAAUUAAGCUUUGGAGAAUGGCUGGGACUGCAGUUGCUGCCUUGGAAAGCUCCAGAAUGCUCUAGAAAGCUCGCUAUGCUGCCAGGAGGCCAGAGCUGGGCAGGAGCUGAGGGAAAGAGAAAUUUCCUUCUACAGAAGGUAUUCUCCCGCCCUGGGAGCAGCCAAGAGUCAAAGGUCACCACUGCAUACUGGACAGGAGGGCUUGUGUCCUUCUGAGGCUUUCAGUAAUGAAGGGCUGUCGCCGGAGCUGCUGUUCCAGAUGCUUGGGGGGCUUUAAUCUCGAGGUGACUUGGAGGCUCACAUGUCCUGCAGAGGGCGCUGGCGUUCCUGGGAGACAGCCUGAAACCUCAAGAACAUCAGGGACCGCGAUGCCUGCUGCUUCCCAUGGAGUCUCCUCUUCUGCUCAUGCUGCUGAGUGCUGGUUCCGAUGGAGUCUCCUCUUCUGCUCAGGCAGUGCCAGGGGCGGCUGAGUGGCCCCUGCCCCAGGCACCUCCACUCGGCAGCGCCACGAGGUCCCAGUCCGCAGGUGGGAGCCAUUCCAACCCACUGGCCCUGCAAUUCCAGCCGAAGCACCCCAGGACACCGGCCUCCUUCCCCGGUGCGUCCAUCCCUGCCGGGCUGUAGGAAUUCCUUCAGGAGCUGCCGGUGCCCUGGGGGGUCUUCAAGCUUCACCCUUUCCCUGAGACAGCCUCGUGUCCCCUCCUCAGCCCCACUCCAUUCUCAGGCGCAGGAGUGCGCCCCUGCAGCCCGCCCAGGCCCCCGAGGCUGAUGGAUGUGUGUUGACGGUGGUGUGUUGGGAGCAUCCCAUCCCCGGCACCAAGAACCAAAUGCAUAAUAAAAAGAUAGAACCAUCACUGCAAUUGUCUGAUCUAUAUUUAUUUCAUAACAUGCAGAAUUAAUAAGAUACCGGGUUUAAAGCUACCAUGGUAACCAAAUGCAGAAUGGCUUGUCCCAGGAAAUAGAUGAAUUCAUAAAUAACCCCGAAGUGCUGAUAUCAACAGUCGCGGGACCCUCCUGCAAUGUUAAUUCGACGCCCGUGCCCCCUGCGGCCUGUGUCCGGCGCAUCCCGGGCAUCUGGAGUGAGGGACACUUGUGGCUUCCACCACAAGCGUCACUCCAGGGACAAUAGACUGGCUGCCCUUACCUGGAGCCUGGUAUGUGAUGGCCAAGUCCUCAAGACUGGGCAAAUCGGAGCCCCUGCCAAGCUCUGAUCCCUGUGGGGACCAGCUCUGCAGAUAAAUGGCCACUGGGAGGUUGUGGGGGUGGGCACAGCAGGCCACCCUAUCGCCCUGUAGUUCUGACAGCCAGGCGGGAGCCUCUGGUCCUGCCUUUGUAGGCACCAAGGCAAUUCAUGGGAGAAGGCAUCUGUUCAUUCAUGCAAUCAGGCAUUCCUUUGACAAAUGUCUCCUGGCCACCAAGCUUGUGGGCACACAGCAGGCGGGCUGGGCAGGGGAGCAGCCUCCAGACACUCAAGCAGCUGACCCUGCCUCCCCGGCCAACGGCAGGAAAUGCUGGGGCCACCUCAGGGCUGUCCCUCCGCACGGGGUGAGAGCCCUGCUGGACAUUCCCUUAGCACUUGACUGAGAGCUGGUCACAUGCUGCCUGUGCCACUGUGGGUCUCCAUGACCUUCACGUUCCACAACAGAACAGCUCCCCACGGCCACGAUUGUGCCAAGGGGCGUGCAGGGGCCAUGGCAGCAUGUGACAGUAGCCAGCAAGGGCCAGGGCAGCAUGUGACAGUAGCCAGCAAGGGCCACGGCAGCUGCCCGACCAGCUGCCCACAGGAUGGGGCUAAGCCACGCUUCCAGGUGGGUGGCCCUGGCCUCGAUUCAGGCCUCAGCCCGUCCUGAGGGUGAGUGCCCCUGCCCCAGGAGCCUGUCUCCUGUCUGAGCAAUGUGAACCCCUGCCCCUGCCUGGCCAGAAUCCCAAGAAAGAAUCCAAUAGAAUCAGUGAAACCCCGGGGCAGGGGUGAGGGAGGCAUGAGGCAAGCACCGGGGACCCUUAGGGCAGGGAAACUAUUGUACAGAGCGCUGUGAGGGUGGGUGCUGUCUUUAUGCACCUGUCCAAAGCCACGCCAUGCACACCUCCAAGAGGGACCCCUAAUGUACGCUGUGGACUCUGAGGAAUGAUGAUUUUGCUGUGAACCUAAAACUGCUCUAAACAAUAAAGU
rnacentral:lncRNA from 1 species